rnacentral:rRNA from 1 species
GACGAACCGUGCGAACGUUAUUCGGAAUCACUGGGCUUAAAGGGCGCGUAGGCGGGCCGCCAAGUCAGGGGUGAAAUCCCACGGCUCAACCGUGGAAGUGCCUUUGAUACUGGCGGCCUCGAGGGAGGCAGGGGCGUGCGGAACUUUGGGUGGAGCGGUGAAAUGCGUAGAUAUCCAAAGGAACACCGGUGGCGAAAGCGGCGCGCUGGACCUCUUCUGACGCUGAGGCGCGAAAGCCAGGGGAGCAAACAGG